rnacentral:rRNA from 1 species
CCUACGGGAGGCAGCAGUGAGGAAUAUUGGUCAAUGGGCGGGAGCCUGAACCAGCCAAGCCGCGUGAGGGAAGAAGGUACAGCGUAUCGUAAACCUCUUUUGUCAGGGAACAAAGGCGGGGACUAGUCCCCGGAUGAGGGUACCUGAAGAAAAAGCAUCGGCUAACUCCGUGCCAGCAGCCGCGGUAAUACGGAGGAUGCGGGCGUUAUCCGGAUUUAGUGGGGUGAAAGGGUGCGCAGGCGGCCUGUUAAGCUAGAGGUAAAAGCCCGGGGCUAAACCCCGGCGAGCCAUUGAAACUGGCGGGCUGGAGUUGGAGAGCAGUAAGCGGAAUGCGCGGUGUAGCGGUGAAAUGCUUAGAUA